rnacentral:tRNA from 1 species
GGGGGCAUAGCUCAGUUGGGAGAGCAGUAGACUGAAGAGAUUCGUAUUCUAAAGGUCCCGCGUUCGAUCCGCGGUGCCCCCA